UACGAAGGGGGGCUAGCGUUGCCUCGGAAUCACUGGGCGUAAAGCGCACGUAGGCGGAUAUUUAAGUCGGUGGUGAAAUCCUGGAGCUCAACUCCAGAACUGCCUCCGAUACUGAAUGUCUUCGAGUCCGGGAGAGGUGAGUGGAACUGCGAGUGUAGAGGUGAAAUUCGUAGAUAUUCGCAAGAACACCAGUGGCGAAGGCGACUACCUGGCCUGUUCUUGGACGCUGAGGCGCGAAAGCUAGGGGAGCAAACGGGG
rnacentral:rRNA from 1 species